rnacentral:lncRNA from 1 species
AGACAAAAAUGGUGAAAAUAUUAUGAAAGAACGUGCAAAUGUACAUUAGAUCUUUGAAUCGACACCUGUGAAGAAGCAAUGUGAAUGAAACCAUAUUAAAGAUGUAACAGCUGAGAAACUGGCAACAGGUUAUUACGGAGCUGCUUAUGAAUACUCAAAGAUGAUGCUGAGCUAGGAGAAAAAGUGUAUACAGUAGAAGAGAGGACAACUGGAACAGUGCAUGCAUCUCCAGGACCUAUAGCCAGCUAAGUAACCUGCAGUGUAUGACUUGUGCACCUGUUGUUUGGG